UACGGGGGAGCAAGCGUUGUUCGGAUUUACUGGCGUAAAGGGCGCGUAGGCGGUCAGCACAAGUCAGUUGUGAAAUCUCCGGGCUUAACUCGGAAAGGUCAACUGAUACUGUGCGACUAGAGUGCGGAAGGGGCAACUGGAAUUCUCGGUGUAGCGGUGAAAUGCGUAGAUAUCGAGAGGAACACCUGCGGCGAAGGCGGGUUGCUGGGCCGACACUGACGCUGAUGCGCGAAAGCCAGGGGAGCGAACGGG
rnacentral:rRNA from 1 species